GCAAGCGAGGUGGGCAAGGAGGGGGUGUUACUCCAUUCACUCAUUUCCCUUAAGCUGCCAUUUUCUGCCUAGCAGGGCAAGGACACACAACUCCUUCGAUCUUACUUUUUUUUCCUGGUGCCUGUUCCUGUCUCAGGUAGGGCAGAGCAUGGUUCCUCCAGUCUCUCUUUCUCAGACUCCCCAGUGCUCCUUAACCUUUUGAGUUCCUCCCACAGCUCUGCUCCUCAGUUUGGGCUGAGCACAUCACCCACCUCGUCACCCCUCACACAGCUCUUCUCACCACACCAAUGAAGGCUCUGGCACGUCCUUUGUCUGCCUCUUCUGGGAGCUCUGCCAGGGCUGCUACAAUUGUCCUGGUCGGUGCAGAGGACACAGCUCUGCUGAGGGGACACCACAGCCCAGAAGGAAAUUGUGAAGUCUUAAGGAUUUUGAGGUACACCAAAGCUCUUCCAUGGACUCAGAUACUCUUCAUCUAAUUUAUGAGCUUUUGUCUCAAUUAUACAUACAAACCAGUGCUGACCAAGGGAUGCAGCAAAGCCCUGCUGACAGAGGGACUGAGAAGAAUUCAAAUCACCCAGCAAGUAAGCCAAGUAAGUACUGAAACCAACAGCAGCAGGAUCAACCAUUACCUGGAAACCAGAAGCAAUAUUAAAACAAAAAAUGAGAAACCUUUGAGAUCUUCUUUCUAUAAAUUCUUCUUUUGUCUCCAAAUAAUGUGAUGCAAAAUCCUGUGGCUCUGUUUUAUACCUGAGUUUUGGUAGGUGGUCCUCAAGUCAGACAUAAGUCAUCUGCACCCCAAAGAUCUGUCACUUUAAUUGAGGAUAUGGAAAAGCAAUAUUCAAACCUAGCAGAGAAAGAAACUGAACCUAAGGGCUCUUGCAUGUAGGAGAACAAGGAAGAAGGUUGCUCACUGGGCUAGAGGCUUAUUGGGCUCUAGUCAAAGA